AGAUAUGUAUAUUAUCUAUAUUUUUUGAUAUAUUGUGAUAGGUUUUGGUGUACAUAAUUGCAAUAAAAUAUCAUUGAAGUCUUUUACAUUAUGGAUACUGAAUUAAAAUGAAAUUAAAACAAAUACUUGUGACACAAAAAAUUGAAGUGGUUCUAGCCGUCGCGAGUAAACAUUUGCAUCUGGGUUAACACAAAUUCUAACCAUCCAGUGAAGAAGAUAAAAAGUCUCGGUAACUCUUCACAAUAUUCAGCACAAAUGAAUAUGUUCCUAGAAUUACAAAAAUGACUCCAAAUGCAGCCAUUACCACACUCAACGUAACUUGUGUCAGAGUAAAGAUAUAAGAAAGUGUGUAAAUAGACUGGGAAUAACAAUAAUAAUAAUUAUAAUAUUGAUUUAUAAUAUGAUUAUAGAAAAUAUAAAUUAAAAAUUCAAUGUAAGAACACCAGUAUUAUACCUGUGUACACGUUGCUUUUUUUCCCCACAAUUCUCAUAAAACAUAAACUUGGAAAACUAACUGAAAAUUUUACACUCCCCAAAUUAGUUUGCAAUUUCACUAAAAUUCCUUACAAUAAUUACAAAUGAAAGCACAAUGGAGUAGACGAAGCAAGCUCAUAUUAAGUUGAUGCCAACAAACAUUAUAAUUAAGCAUUUGUCUCGGUUUCUCAGUUAUAUAAAGCAAAAUAAUCUAGAAAAUUACAUAUAAAUAUUCUCCUCCAGCCAAGUUUGGUCUUUGUACGAAAACAGGUCUUAAAAAUACAGUAAACUACUCAAUGCUAAGUACAUUAUGUUGGUUAUUAAUUCAGAUAUUAUUAGCCUUAAAUGUUGGUUAUUAAUUCAGAUUUUAUUACUCUUAAAUUAUUUACCGUUAUUAUUGCAUUAAUGGUCAGUUUACAGAACUGUUAAUAUUCCUAUUUUAUAACUUCCAGUAUUUGUAAUUUUAUUAUAUAUAUUAUUGAAGUAAAUCAAAAUGAAUGAAUCAGUUCAACAGUUUUGCAAUUUUGUGCAAUUACGUUUAAUAAGUUUCUACAACAUUUUGCCUUCUCUUAUUUCCUUCAAUUAAUUUCAACACAUUAAUAGUUAUUCCUUUAAGUACAUGUAUGAAGAAUGAAAUCUAUAAUUUUUUAAGGAAUUUAAAACAAAAUUGGUUAUGAUAAACUAAAUCCACUGCUUACUGAACACCCAAAGGUUAAUUUGGCUUUUGUUCUAAGGCCUCUGCAUGAUUUAGUCAUCAUAGAUGUUUGAGAGGAAAAUAUGUGCGAUUGGGUGUUUAUGUGAAAGUGAUUCUGAGCAUUGAAGUGUUUGCUUACCAAGUAUACAGGAGAAAGAGCCAAUUAAAGCCAUCACAUACCCUGAAAUUGUAAUAAAUUGGUGUUAAAGAGUCACUUAGGUUCAUAUCACAUACCAUUUUCUAUAUUCAAUGUAGAAUUUUUUAAUCAAAAUGUUUGAUCAAUUUUUUAGUGGAAAAAAAUAAAGAUAUAAGUAGAAAUUGACACUUAAACUUAGGUUAGAAGUAGAAAUAGUUCAGCUCACAUAAAUUUAUCAGAAAUUAACACUUUAGAAUGAACCUAUGAUAUCAUAAUAUGCCCACGUCAAAUACACAAAUGGGUGGAAAAGAAAAUAUGAAAAUGUAUUGUUCUUGACUAGUUUCACAUUAAAAGUAACACGACAGAGAUAAACUUUAAAACUCACAAAAAAGGGGAAUCAGAAAAGCAACACAAAUUGUUGAUACAACAAGUGCGAUUCUGAUAAGAGCAAAACACCAAUAAGUUAUUGAGAAUCUACCUGGUAACAACUCCUCGAGACUUCUUACUAAAGGGUUCAUCAUCAAAGCAUAUUUGUGUAUAGUUAGGGAAAAUCAAAUUAAAAUUAUUCCUAAAUUUGAUCAAGUCAUCUCUAAUUAUCACAUUCAAGACACACUAGUUUUGAGGCAAAAAGGAUAUUUAGUGAAUGGGUUAAUUACCUAAAAUAAAGUAAGGAACACAGAAAUAAAAAAAAUGUUUACUUCAAUGAAACAAACAAAAUAAUCCCAAUAGACCAAGAAAAUCUCAUACUCAUUAUUGUCCAUAUUGCAACCAUUGAAGCAAAUGCAUUUCUUGGCAAAUUUAACGUUAUUUGAGACAAAGUGUCGUUGCCAAAUGCAAGGAAUCCCAUGAUAGCAACACCUCCAUAUAUUGCAACAACCAAUACAAAACUGUGUGUGAACAAACUAGUUUAGGAAUUUGAUAUUAAAAAAUAAGAAAUCAAAAACAUUUUGCUUGUUAUAGACAAAAUAAAGAAGAUAAUGUAUCACAAUAUUAUUGCUUUAGUAAAUUGUGUUUUGUCAGCCAUACAUUGAUAAAUAUUUGAAGAAACAGCAUGGCCUGCAAAGCAAAACCCGUGAAUACCAAUAACUAAUGGAAUGCCACUCCAGUUUAUGAAUUUAGUGUUGUGAUGGAAUCCAACACCAUCCCUUAUCCCAACACAAUACACAUAGAUAAUAAUCAGCAAUGUUGCAAAGACUCCUCCAGCUGCAUAUCAUAACAAAAAAUUCCAUUAAGUAAAUGUUAAGUUGAAAAAUUGAAAACAAAAGAUAUGUCCUUUACACUGUGGAGUACUUGACAACGUUGAGAUUAUAUGAAGAUCCUUCAGGAAAACAAUUACGAAAAAAUAAGUGUAGCAAAAAUUCCAAACAAGUGCAUGGAAUCUAACUGAAAACUACCCAAACGGGAUGUUCCUGGAAAUAGUUUAGUGAGGUUUUCUCCGUCCAAGAUGAUGAAUUCUACACAAUACGACUACACUCACAAAAAAGAUGUGUUAGUACAAACUAUCAUAAUUAAGGUGCUAUUAAAAGAAAUAUAAGAAAUGAUUGCAGAAGUUACCUAUAAUUCGGUGUACAAGAUGAUCUACAAUAAUUCCAUAAGUAUACGUUAGUUAGUAUUUAGUAGAACCACUUACAUAAGUGAAAAAAGUUACAUCGCAGCAUUCUAUGACAUGAGUUUAUAUUAUACAACAAAUAAAGAUAAACAAUGAAGAAUCUUGAGAAGCAUUUCUUAAGGCUGUAAAUUAAACUUAAGAGAUCAAAAAUAAAAAUGACCAAAACCAAUUAAAACACAAAGGAAUCCAAUUUAGAAGGGAGAAAUUUAAGCCUCAUAACUAAUAACAAACAAAACGAAAGAAAUCCUAGGAAAGAUUUAUCUGUUGAGUUACAAGCAUUGCACAAAGAUUCUCAAUAUUUAAAUAAAUAUGUAGAUAACUCACUGAUAUAAUGAUACGACUAUAUUUUCCAAAGGCAACUUCUCCUAUAUCUGGGUAGCUAUUGAUUCCUUUUAUGCUUUCAAAGCAAUAUCUCAUAAGGGUUGCCGUAUAACAACAAAUGACAGCAAAAAGAACCAUCAACACCAUGCUCAUCCAACCAGCUUCUUUCAAUGCAUAAGGUGUUGAGAGAAUGCCAAUUCCAACCAUCACAUUAAUUUCUGCCAUUUGCCAAAGGUAAAAUACAUCAUCACCUCAUAAAAUGACCAGGUUGUCAUAAAAACUAUGGAUAGUUCAGUUAGGUGUGAUUGUUUGCUAUGAAAUAACAUACCAUUCAAAAUUGUUUGAAUUAAGCUGCACCCACCACGACUAAUGGGAAAUUCGCCUGAUGCAAGUUACAUUUUUUUUUUAAUUGGGGUGUAUCAAAUUACGUUUUUCAUAUUGGUGCAUCCAGUUUGGUGGUUGCGUUUGUGGUUGUGUGGGUUACAUGUGUUGUGUUCGUCUGAUGCAAUGGUCGCGUGCGUUGUGUUCGUCCGGUGUGAUGGACGUGUGAGUUGUGUUUGUCUAGUGCAAUGUUCACAUUUGCAACCUGCGGUGGUGUCUUUCAUCUCUGUAGUUGGUGGUGUCGUUCAUCUUAUAUCAGGUUAGAGGUGGUGUUGGUGGUGCUCUGUUUUGGUGGGAAGGUGCAUCUGUAUUUAUGUUUAAGAGAACCGUGGUGUAAUUUUUCAAUGAAAACAUUUUUUUGAAUUGAGGUGCAUUCGGUACGGUAGACACAUUUGUGGUCAUGCGGGUCGCAGUGAAACAUUUAUUUGAGAUACUUUGAAGUUAUAUAAUUCUCAUUCAUUACUAAAUGUAGUUAUUUAAGUGUUGUGGACUUAUUUGUUCUAACUACUUUAAGUAAUUAUAUUAUUGAAAUAUUUUUUUCAUAUGAAGUAAACUCUUACGAGUUUAUGAGUCGAGUCUACGGAGCUCUCACGAGUCUACGUAGAUUCUCAAAUUUGAUAAUCCUAAGUAAUACUAUAGAGAUAAAAUUUAAGACUCAUCGAAAAAGGGAAUCAGAAAAACAGCACAAACUGUAGAUACAAUAAGUGUGAUUAUGAUAAGAAUGAAACACCAAUAAGUUCUUGAAAAUCUAUGAGGUAGCAACUCCUUGAGACUUCUUGCUAAUGGGUUCAUACACAAAGCAUAUUUGUGUAUAGUUAGGAAAAAUCAAAGUAAAAUUAUUCCUGCAUUUGAUCAAGCUAUCUCCAAUUGUCCAAUUCAUGAGACACUAGUUUGAGGCAAAAAUGAUAUUUAAUGAAUGAGUUAAUGCUAAGAGAACAAGAAAAUUUCAUACUUACUGUGGUCCAUAUUGCAACCUUUGAAGCAAAUGCAUUUUGUGAUAGAUUUAAUGUUAUUUGCGACAAAAGUGUCAUUGCCCAAUGUAAGGAAUCCCAUGAUAGCAACACCUCCAUAUAUUACAACAGAAAACACAAAAAUUUUGUGUGAACAAUUGAGUUUAGGAAUAAGAUAUUAAAAAUAAAGGAGAUGGCACACAUACCAUAUUACUAGUGCUUUAGUAAAUUGUGUUUUGUCAACCACAAAUUGGUAAAUAUUUGGAAAAUUUGAAUGGUCGCAAAGCAAAACCCGUGGAUACCAAUAGCUAAUGGAAUGCCACUCUAGUUUACCAAUUUAGCGUUGUGAUGGAAUCCACACAAUACACACAGAUAACAACCAACAGUGUUGCAAAAACCCCUCUAACUGCAUAUCAUAACAAAAAAUUUGUUAAGAAAAUGUUAAGUUGUAAAACUGAAAACAAAAGAAAUGUCCUUUACACUUUGGUGUACAUGACAGUGCAGAGAUUAUAUGAAAAUCCUUCAACAAAAUAGUUGGGGAAAAAGUAAGUGCAACAAAAAUUCCAAACAAGUGUACAAAAUCUAACAGGAAACUACCCAAAUCUAAGGAUGUUCCCGAAAAUAGUCUAGUGAGGUUGUCUCCUUCUAAGGUGAUGAAUUCUACACAUGACUACACUCACGAAAAGAUGUGCUAUAAAUACAUUGCAAACUAUCAUAAUUAAGGUGUUAUGAAAAGAAAUAUAAGAAAUGAUUGCAGAACUUACAUAUAAUUUCUUGUACAAGAUGAUGAUCUGCAAUAAUUCCAUAAGUAUACAUUAGUUAGUAUUUAGUAUAACCACUUGCGUAAGUGAAAAAGUUAUAUCUCAACAGUUUGUGACAUGAGUUUAUAUUAUACAACAAAUGAAGAUAAAUAGUGAAUAAUCUUUGUAAUUUCACAUAACUGCACGUAACUGCACUUCUUGUUUUUUUUUCUGUUUGUUUCAAUUGUUGAAUAAAUAUUUCUAAGUAAUUGUUUAUAAACUUUAGGCAAAAGCAUUUAAGAGUCUGUUAUUGCAAGCAUUAUAAAUGUAAUUGUUAGCAAAGAUAAUGAAUAUAUUGUUUUGCUUUGAAGAUCAAUUGUUCAUAGCCACUUGUUUCUCAAACAGAGAAUCAAGUGAAAGUUGGUUCAAUGGCUACACCAACCACAUGACAAGGAACUCUUCAAGGAAAUGAGAACUACUAAGACUAAAAGGGUGAGGAUUGGAAAUGAUGAACACCUAACAGUAAAAUGAAAAGGCGCAAUAACUAUCACAAGUUUCAUCAAAUUACAUUUUGCAUAUUGGGGAAAAACUUGUUUUUUUAUUUAUUUGGGGUGCAUCCAGUGCGGUGGUCGUGUUCGUGUUCGUGCAGGUCACGUGCGUUGUGUUCGUCCAAUGUGAUGUCACAUUUGCUAUUUACGAUAUGCGAUGGUGUCGUUCAUCUCUGUUGGUGGUGGUGGUGUUGUUCAUCUCAUGUACGUUAGAGGUGUGAAUUAAUGUGCAUCUACAUUUAUGUUUAAGAAAACUGUGGUGUAAUUCAUUGGGGUGCAUCAAACUACUAUUUGCAUAUUGGGGAAACGUUAUUUUUUAAUGGGGGUAAAUGAAAUUGGGGUUCAUCUGGUGCGGUGAUCAUGUUCUUGGUCGUGCGGGUUGCGUGGGUUGCAUUCGUUCGGUGUGGUAGUCGCGUGACUUGCAUUUGUCAGGUGCAAUGGUCGUGUUUGCGAUCUGUGGUGGAGCCGAUCAUCUGAGUAGCUUGUGGUGGUGUCGUUCAUCUUGUAUCAGGUUAAAGGUAGUGUUGUUGGUGCUCUGUUUUUGUGGGAAUUAGGGUGCAUCUGCAUUUAUGUUUAAGAGAAUCCAAGUGUAAUUUUUUGGGAAAAACAAUUUUUUAGUGCAUCCGGUGUGUUGUACGCGUUCGUAAUCGUGCGGGUCACAGUGAAACAUUUAUUUGUAAUUUUUGUAUGAACUUAUUUAUUUGAGGUACUUUGAAGUUAUAUAAUUCUCAUUUACUACUAAAUGUAGUUAUUUAAGUGUUGUGGACUUAUUUGUUUUAACUACUUUAAGAAAUUAUAUUAUUGAAAUAGUUUUUUUAUAUAUAAAGUAAACUCUUACGAGUUUACGAGUCGAGUCUACGGAGCUCCCAUGAGUCUGUAUAGAUUCUCAAGUUUGACAACCUUAAGUAAUACUAUAGAGAUAAAGUUUAAGACUCACCAAAAAAAGAAUAAAAAAAGCAGUAAAACUGUAGACACAACAAGUGUGAUUUUGAUAAGAAAAAAACACCGAUUAGUUCUUGAGGUCUAUCUGGUAACAACCUCUCGAGACUUCUUGCUAAUGGUUUCAUCAACAAAGCAUAUUUGUGUAUAGUUAGGGAAAAUCAAACUAACUGAGGUUUAGGUAGCUUGGUAGGAUGCCGACCUCGCUAUGACCUAAUCCAGUAGAAUUACCGACGUAAUCCAUGUAAUAGUUGUAAUGUUAAGAAGUCCAUCCAUAGCAUGAUGAGUAAUCUCGUCAGUUUUAGCUGAAUGAGUGCCAGCAACGUAGACUAGAAAUUUAUACAAUUAAGAAGACCAUGCAUAGCAUGAGAGUAAUUUCCUUAGUGCAACUAAAGGAAAUUCCGACGUUGCUUGGUUAUUAAAUAUUUGUUAAGAAGACCAUGCAAGGCGUGGAGUGUGAUCUCCUCAGCGUGAGCUGAAUGAGGUACCAACGACGUUUGUUUUGAAAAUAAUAAUAUUAAGAAGACCAUGUAUUGCAUGGAGCGAACCUUUUUCAGGUCAGCUGAAAGCGGUGUUAACGUCGUUGGUUGAUUAUUUUAUAUGCUACGAAGACCAUGCAUGACAUGAAGCUUAAUAUAGUAGAAUAAAUACGCACAUAUAGAGUUUGGCAAAAGCAGAUAAAUACAGUGAGUUCACCAGAAAAUAACAUGCCUAUAAUACGGUUACUCCUUGACUAUCUUCCCAUUCACCACAAUUUUGAAUGGGUCGAAUUCUGAUUAGAUGAGGUCAGGAUAGAGAGCUCAGAACUAUUCCAGGGCGGCGCUAAAACCAUCCACGAAGCCACGGGCGAUCUCAUCUUUGGCAGCUUCAAGGGCGGUGUCAAAGGUCUGAACUUUGGUUUGGAAAAGAUUCUCAGUGGUAGCAAACUCCUUUUGUUUCAGAGACAUGUCAGCCAAGGUUUGUUGCAGUUUAAAGUGGGCAUCAUCUCUAUCCCGAGAAGUGUCGCGAAGUUGAGUUUCCAAAAGAGCGACGUUCUUUUGCACUGUGGCCAGAUCUUCUUCAAGUUGUUUCCUUUGAGAGUCAAAAAGGGUGGCUUAAGUUUCAUGUGACCGAGCAAGGUUGUUCAAGUAUUGCAGAAAGUCUGUCCAAGUGGUCAGUGUGGGGACUAAGGCAGUACUGGCCGCCAGAGGUCGAGCGUUGGUGGGAAGAGUGUUUUGUUUCAGGUAUCGGUUGAGAGGGCUCGGUGUGUGUAUGCCUCAUGCGUGUUCACUUCAAAGGAAGGGUGUCGGUCUUCUCCGAAUCAUCUGAAGGGGCGAUGGAGGUGGCCUUUUCUUUCUUCUUUAGGCGAAGUCUCAUGUCAGCUCUGCUUAGUGACAUGGUGUUUUGUGCAUGAAAAUUAGGGUUAGUUGUCAAUAUAAAGAAGGAAUAAAUGGAAAAGUAGUGAAGGAGUAAAAUAUCAAUGUAAACUUUAACAUCGAUAGGUUGGGGUUCAAGCUUUAGGAGUACAGAGGUUUCAAAUAUGGUGUCCAAAUGAUCAAGUGUUGUGCAACCAUUUAAUUCGUUGUUUUUUAAAUCAUCUACAGAACGGGGAGUUUGGCUUUGGGGUCGAGGAGACCAAUAUAAAUGGAACCUGGUUAAAAGGUUGGAAUCAGGACAAUCAGUUUGGAUUUUGAGAAAUUUUCCUUUAAAUGUUUUAUAGGAAGACUGAAAUAGCAAUAAGAGGCCUCGUCCAGAGACGCCAUUGAGAGAAGCCCGGGAGGUUCGUUUGGAGGGUUUGAAUUCAAAAAAGUAAAACAACAUGUUGCGUGUAGGAGUAAUGUCAAAGUGGGUGCAGAGAAUUUGGAAGACCCUGAUGAAGGCCCAGUUGUUGGGGUGGAGUUGAGCAGGAGCAACGUUCAUGAUAAUCAAAACACCAUUUUCGAAAGGUGAUAGAGGAAGGCGAACGUCGAGUUUAAUGAAGAGACUUUCGUAAAAGAAGCAUAAAGGUUGUUCGUUUUGGCGGUCUUUGCAAACAGGUUCAUCAAGGGUAUUGGGAACGACAACAAUUUGUGAUUCAAGACCAGAACGACUCAAGGUUUGGGCAUGGCGGAAGUUUUCAAUCUUGGUGGAAGAAGUAAAGACAAAGAAUUCGCGAAGAACGUUGCGUCUAGCCUAAGAGUAAAUGGAGUUAUAAUCCAUUAAGAGAGAAAGGACAAGUACAAUAGUAGAGGAUACAAUUAGGAAGUUCAUAAGUAUACAGUGGAUUAAAGCAGCAAGCUAGAAAGUCUAACGAUGCGUACCUGAAAGCGCGGUUGAGAAGAAGAGAGAGUUGGACAGUGGAGUGAGUGAAUGAGCAAAGUUAGGAUGAUGGUGAAUAAGCGGGAAGAGGAAGAGCGGGAAGAGGAAGGUUAAUGAAAUGAGAGUUAUUUCAAAUGGGCGAGUAAGGUUAUGACACGUGGAUGGAGUUGCAGCAUUUAAUGGUUGAAGGGACAUGUGUCCAAAAGUAAUGAUGGGUGUGGGAAUCGAUGGUGAUGGGAGUGCCAUAGUGUGUUGUGCCAGUUGGUAUGCUGGAAAGCAGGGGUGGGCACGAUUGACUUAGCCUCAUUGACUCACCCUGGUAAGGAGGGUCGUGAGCCGACCAUUCCUAAGAAGGAAGGAACAUGAAAGGCCAAAUUAGCCUCAUUGGCUUAUGCCUGAGGUUGAGGGGUUGUAUGAGUAUGGGUUGAUUGAUGAAUAAGGUAACAUUCAGAUGCCGAUCAUAAUGAGACUUAAAGGAGAAGGAGGCGUUACCGAAAGGGAGUAAUGGAAAUUAAUAUGAAAUAAAGUUGUUGGUUACAGAGAAUGACGAGGGACCGAGUCUACUAUAAGAGGAGGCGGAGACCUAUGAGAAGGGGGCAGAAAAAAAAACUGAGGGUCAUUUGUCUUGGCUAGAACACUAACAUAUGAGUUUUGGUCUAGUUUCACCAUAUUUUUUAUAUUUUCUUUAUUUUUAUUUUUUUUAAUAAUACUUUUUUCAUAGAAUGACAGAUAAUUGUUAUUACUUGAAAUGUUAGUCUAGAUGAGAGGUCAAGUUACAUAUUCAUCCUAACCUGAAAAACUUUUAUAAAAAAAGGUAUAUAGAAAAUACUUUAACCCUUUUAAAAAUAAUUUCGGUUAAUGAGUAACCAAUAAAAAAAACACUAAGAUGUAUGAAUUUUUUUAUAUUCAUAUUACAUCUACAUCAAAAUCAAGUCUAAUACAAGUUUAACUUUGACUUCCACAUUUCUGACUGAUAUUUUCUUGUAUUAGUUACCGUAAUUGCAAUUUUGCAUCAUGGGUAUUAAAAUUUUAGUCUAACAUUUUUACUCUUUUUUUUUUACCGAAAAUGUUCAUCUAGUUCUAGAAACUAUAACAAAACGUGAAACUUAUAAAUUGCAAAUAUUUGCCUUUUGUAAAAGAGACGUGAUCUUGUACGAAUAAAAUAAAUUCGACCGAUUAUUGUAAUAAUAAAAUAAACAAAAAGCAAAUAGUUUUUGAAAAAACAAAAUCUUUUAGAAAUUAUUUUUACUCAUUUUUUAUACUUUCUAAUUUAAAAAUAGUACAAUUUUGUUUUCCGAAACAACACUACAUGUAUAAAACUUAAUUUUUUUAUUAAUUGUAGCAUUAUUUUUCCUACGUCCAUUUAUCACUUCUAUCAAAAUUAUUAAUUUUAAUAUUAAAAAAUUUGACAUUUGCACGACAUAUAGAUAUGUAUAUUAUCUAUAUUUUUUUAUAUACUGUCAUAGGUUUUGGUGUACAUAAUUGCAAUAAAAUAUCAUUGAACUCUUUUACAUUAUGUAUACCCAAGUAAAAUUAAAUUAAAAGAAAUACUUGUGACACAAAAAUUGAAGUGGUUCUACCGUCAAUAGUAAACAUUUGCAACUGGUUAACACCAAUUCUAACCAUCCAGUGAAGAAGAUAAAAGUCUCAGUAACUCUUUACAAUAUUCGACACAGAUGAAUAUGUUCCUAGAAUUCCAAAAAUUACUCCAAAUGCAGCAAUUACUAAACUCAACACAACAUGUGUCAAAGUAAAGAUAUAAGAAAGUGUGUAAAUAGAGUCGGGAUAAUAAUAACAAUAAUAAUAAUGAUUUAUAAAAUAUGAUUCUAGAUAAAAUAAAUUUAAAAUUAAAUGCAAGAACAACAGUAUCAUACUUGUGUACACGUCGCUUUUUUCCCCACAAUUCUCAUAAAACAUAAACUUGGAAAUAUCACUGACUGAAAAUUUCCCAAAAUUAGUUUGCAGUUUCACUGAAAUUCUUAAUAGAAAUUAUAAGUGGUCACAAAUGUUUGACAGGGAAAUAUUUGUGAUUGAGUGUGUUUAUGUGAAAGUGAUUGGAGUGUUUUCUUACCACAAGUAUACUGAAGAUAGAGCCAAUUAGAGCCAUCACAUACCCUGAAAUUGUAACAAAAUGGUGUUAAAGAGUCACUUAGGUUCAUAUGACAUACCAUUUUCUAUAUUCAACGUAGAAUUUUCUUAAUGAAAAUGUUUGAUCAUUUUUUUAUGGAAAUUAAUAAAGAUAUAAGAAGUAAUCGGCACUUCAACUUAGGUUAGAAAUAGAAAUAGUCCAACUCACAUAAAAUUAUGAGAAAUUAACACUUCAGAAAGGCAACUGAAAAGAUACAAACUUAUAUGAACCUAUGUUAUCAUAAUAUACCUACCUCAAAUACACAUAUGAGUAGAAAACAAAUAUAAAAAUAUAUGCUUAUGAACAUAAAGCUAUAUUAAUUUUUGUACUGUCCUUAACUAGUUGAGCAGUCACAUUACAAGUAAUACUACAAAAUUAAAGUUCAAGCUCACCAAAAAAGGGAAUCAGAAAAGCAGCACAAACUGUAGAUACAACAAGUGCAAUUAUGAUAAGAACGAAACACCAAUAAGUUCUUGAGAGUCUAUCGGUAGCAACUCCUCGAGACUUCUUGCUAAUGGGUUCAUGAACAAAGAAAAUUUGUGUAUAGUUAGGGAAAAUCAAACUAAAAUUAUUCCUGAAUUUGAUCAAGCUAUCUCCAAUUAUCGCAUUCAUGACAUACUAGUUUUAGGCAAAAAGGAUAUUUAGUGAAUGGGUUGAUUACCUGAAAAAGAGUAAGGAACACAUGGGUAAAAAAUGUUCACUUUAGUUAAACUAAUGAAAUAAUGCUAAGAGACCAAGAAAUUAUCAUACUUACUGUUGUCCAUAUUGCAACCUUUGAAGCAGAUGCAUUUCUUGGCAAAUUUAAUGUUAUUUGAGACAAAGUGUCGUUGCCAAAAGCAAGGAAUCCCAUGAUGGCAACACCUCCAUAUAUUGCAACAGACAAUACAAAAUUGUGUGCGAACAAAUGAGUUUAAGAAUUUGAUAUUAAAAAAUAAUUAAUCAAAAAUAUUUUUCCUGUUACAGACAAAAUAAAGGAGAUAGCAUACCAUACUAUUAAUGCUUUAGUAAAUUGUGUUUUGUCAGCCAUAGAUUGGUAGAUAUUUGGAAAAACUGAAUGGCCUGCAAAGCAAAACCCGUGGAUGCCAAUAGCUAAUGGAAUGCCACUCCAUUUUACCAAUUUAGUGUUAUGAUGGAAUCCAACACCAUCCAUUAUCCCAACACAAAACACACAGACAACAAUCAAUAAUGUUGCAAAAACCCUUCCAGCUGCAAAUCAUAACAAAAAUUUCGUUAAGGAAAUGUUAAUUUGUAAAAUUGAAAACAAAGGAAAUGUCCUUUACACUUUGGAGUACCUGACAAUGCAGAGAUUAUACGAAAAUCCUUCAACAAAACAAUUGGGAAAAAAGUAAGUGCAGCAAAAAUUCCAAACAAGUGCACUGAAUCUAAUUGGAAACUACCCAAAUCUAAUGAUGUUCCUGGAAAUAGUAUGGUGAGGUUGUCUCCUUCCAAGGUGAUGAAUUCUACACAACAUGACUACACUCACAAAAAGAUGUGUUAUAAAUACAUUAAAACAAACAUAAGAAAUGGUUGCAAAACUUACAUAUAAUUCUGUGUACAGGAUGAUCUGCAAUAAUUCCAUAAGUAUAUAUUGGUUAGUAUUUAAGUGAAAAAGUUACAUCUCAGCAUUCUGUGACAUGAGUUUGUAUUAUACAACAGAUAAAGAUAAACAGUGAAUAAUCUUGAGAAGCAUUUCUUAGGAUCCUAAAUUAAACUUUAAGAGAUAAAAAAGAAAAAUGACCAAAACUAGAUAAAACCAUGGUACAAAACUGAAUAAAAACAAUCAUCUAGUCGGAAUCAAAUAGAUUGACUUUGAGGUUCAAAGAAAUCCAAUUUAGAAUGGAGGAAUUUAAGCCUCACAAUUAAUAAGAAACAGAAAUAAAUCCCAGAAAAGAUUUAUCUAUGGAGUAACAAGCACUGCACAAGGAUUUUCAAAUAAUUUAAAUAAAUAUGUAGAUAACUCACUGAUACGAAAAUACGACCAUAUUUUCCAAAUGCAGCUUCUCCUAUAUCUGGGUAGCUAUUGAUUCCUUCUCUGCUUUCAAAGCAAUAUCUCAUAAGGGUAGUUGUAUAGCAACAAAUGAUAGCAAAAAGAAUCAUCAACACCAUGCUCAUCCAACCAGCUUCUUUCAAUGUAUAAGGUGUUGAGAGAAUGCCAACUCCAACCAUCACAUUAGUUGUUGCCAUUUGCCAAAUGUAAAAUACGUUAUCACCUCAGAAAAUGACCAGAUUGCAAUAAAAACUGUGGAUAGUUCAGUUAGGUGCAAGUGUUUGCUAUGAAAUAACAUACCAUUGAAAAUUGUUUGAAUUAAGCUGCACCCACGACUAAUGGGCAAUUCGCCUACUAAAUGCUCUUGCGCUGCAUUUUCCUUCAGUGAUGUUGAUUGUGUAGGGACUUCAGGACUAGAGAGGAAAGGAGUUUUUCCAUCUAUUUGUAUGCUAUGUUUUGAACGAUUUUCAAAAUUGGAAAAUAUAAUACUUGGUACUCGUAGAAUUGAAUCAAAAUUUGGAGUUGCUGGAAGUGUGUAAGAAUUUGUAGUCUCUCUGUCAUAAGAAGAAAACAAGGAAAUUAAUAAGAGACUAAUCAACAUUAUUAUCAUGACAAGUGUUAGAGAUCCCACAUCGGCUAGAGAUUAGAGUAUUUCAUUGUAUAUAAGUGGGUGCAAACCUCACCCCAUGAGUCGAUUUUAUGGGGUUGAGUUAGGCUUAAAGUCCACUUUGUAAUAUGGUAUCAGAGUCAAUUAAAGUCUAUCCUAGCGAAUGUUUGUUAGGUUUAUCAGGUCGCCCGCUAUCGGGCCUUUAUCGGACUACGGACCACCCAUAAUAUGUUAUCCCAGACACAAGCUGUCAUGCUCGGCGUGAGGGGGGGUGUUGGAGAUCCCACAUCGACUAGAUAUUAGAGUAUUUCAUUGUAUAUAAGUGGGUGCAAACCUCACUCCAUGAGUUGGUUUUAUGGAGCUUAAAGUCUACUUUUAAUAACAAGACUGCGCAUAAUAAAUCUUUACGUAAGUUUUUUUUUUAUAUAAAAGUAUGCUUUACAAUUCUCCUUAUCAAAGUGAAAUCUGAUACCUAUUAUUCUGAUAAACAUAAAGUUACUACUAAUGCUAUAGAAAGGAUGUAUAGUGAUGCAUGUUAAGUUCUCCAAUGUGUAAUAUAAAAUAGUUUUUACAACUAUCACAAUUUUAGUAUUUUAAAUAUUUAAAAUGAAAUAAUUUUAAAAUUUAUUUAAUAAUAUGAUUUGAAUCACACAUUUCACUCUUUUUCUUUUUUUUUUUUACUAAUUUAUCAAAAUUUAAAUGAUCUAUUUUGUUGUUACUUAGACAGGUUUUUAAUUAAACAGUUAGAGUUAUAAUUGUAAAACGUAGUUAUGAGCAAUAUAUUUUCUCCUUUUAUGUUAACCCAAUUGAUGUGACAUAUUCUUUAAGAAAAUUAACCUAAUGAUAUAAUAUUUUAAAAGAUUUUAAAAUAUAUUUUUAAUUAGAAUAAUCAUCAAAAAUAUUUUUAUUUUUAAAAGCUUCCUUCAAUUACUCAUUCUAAUAUUGAUUUUCCAUGUAAAAAUGAUUAUCUAAUACAAAUUAUUAUAUUUUUAUAGAAAAUUUAAAAAAAAAGUGUAAUAAAUUUGUAUAAGGGAGACAAUUUUAUAUAUUUAGAAGUAAAAAUAAUAAUAUUUAAAUAUUUAUAAAAAUAAUGUAAGAGUGAUGGUUUAGUUAUAAAUUAUUUUUUAGAAAAAAUUAAUUAAAGUAAAGUAUACUAAAUUUACAUUGAUUGAGGAAAAAAAGCUUAAAUCACUCUUUCACUCAUCCAACCAUAGAAACAAAUUUAUAGUUUUUUUAAUGUUAUAUAAGAAUAUAUUAAAAAUAGAAGCAACAUGCCCACUGAAUGUAAGUAUUAAAAAUAUAAGAAUAUAUUUGACAGUCAAUUCAUUAAUCAUAUCUGACAAUUAAUGUAAGUAUGCAUUUUCUUUAGAAGUAUAAAAUUUAUAAAAAUAAAGUCUAUAAAUAAGUUAUAAGAGUUGAUAUUUUAUUUUAUUUUAAAUUUCACCUUUUUAUCCUUUUUUUUCAAUAUUCUUUCUAUCCCUUCUUUAGAAAUUUAAAUUAUGAGGUUAUUUGUACUUUAAACAUAUUAAAUUAUUAAAUCCCUAUGAAAGUAGCAAUCAAUAUAUUAAGAUAGUCUGAACAUAUUUUUGAUCUCAGAUUAAAACUUUUGGAGUUUUAGUAAUAUAAUUAGGAUCUCUAAAAAAUGGAAAUUAAUAGUUUUGCUGGUACCACAUUUCCUUCAGAUAAGAAAAAAUAAUUUAAGUUGAAUCUAUUGAAUUAAAAUUUAAUUUUAAAUGUGUGAAAUUUAAAUUGUAUCGUGAAUUUUCUCUAUGUAAUACUUAUUUAGAAAAAAAGGUAUUUAUUGAAUUAGCUCUUGUUAAGUUGAAUUUGGACAUUCAACUAAGUUAUAACAAUUAUUAAACGUAAAAUUGUUGUUAUAGUAUAAUGGACGAAAAUGGUAAUAUUUAUAAUACAUUGAAACUCUUUAGUAUCGUUCACGUUAUGACUAUGAGGUUUGAACAAGAAAAAUGUCAAUUAAUCUUCUCUUCUUAAUAAUACUUAAGGUUAGAGACAAAGAUAAAGUCACUUAAAAACUUAAGAUUGUCCUGUGAUGCAUAAUGUUUGUGGAACUUAUUGAAUACUCUCACUUAAAUACUAAUGUAGUUGUUUAAGAGUUGUAAUAUGUAAACAAAAAUGAUUUUAGUUUGGUAACUUAUUUUUAUAUCAUACAUUGCAUCAGUUUUACUUUUUUUUUAUAAUUAGUUGAUCUUUAUCUAAUUAUUAAUUUAAUAUUUUUAUUUGAUAUUUAUAUAAUUAUAAUUUUAUUUUUUAUAUUUGAUAUUAAAAAAAAGGAAAUCUGCAUCUUUUUUACAUUGAACAUUUGAUUUCCUUAGUUAUGAUUUUUAUUUUUUUAUAUAAAAGUAUUUAAUUAAUAUUUAAAAAAAUAAAAGAUGGUUACAAAGAUAUAGGUAUAUCCAUUUCCCUAAUGUGGAUGAGAAUAUGAUAACAAAUUUAUACGGAAGAAUUUUUAUUUUAAAAAUAUAAAUGAUAUAAUGAAAGCCACAUUUGUUGUCUCCUCUUGUGAUCCCUAACCAUGGGUCAUUUGAUGAGAAGAGAAUCAAAGCAAGCACUAGAAGUUAUUCAAAGGGAGGUGGGUUACAGGUAAAAGAGGGUAAGGGUAAUACAUUUCCUAACAUAAUGGAUUCCUCAGCAGAAUCCAAUGGUACAAUAUAUAAAUUGCUAUUAGGCCUUAGAGGCACUAUUGGUGGUGGGCAUCCUAUAAGCUUAUGCAUGUAUUUGGCAUCCUAUAUAAGUAUAUAGAAAAUAUUGAGAGUGGUGUAAGCAAGAAGGAAAAUGAUAGUUUGAAGAAUUUUAUAUAAUUUUUUUAUUGAUGGGAAAGAUAAAUUUGUAAUUAAAUUAUAUGAAAAAAAAUAUUAAAAUAAUAGUAUUAAGAGUAAUGUAAUUGUAUAAAAAUUGUGAGUUGUCAAUAUCAUUACUCAAACAAAAAUUAUGUUGAUAUUAGACUAUGAAUUUUGAUAAAACUAAGCUUCUUAGUUCUGAUUUAGUGCAGAUGUAUAAUGGAAAGUGCAAUUAACAAAUAAAUUCUUAGUUCUGAUUUAGUGCAGAUGUAUAAUGGAAAGUGCAAUUAACAAAUAAAUUAUCAUGACUGUGAGUGUUAUUUAUGAAAGAUCCAACCUGAACAUUCUUCAGAGUAAAUACUAUUACAAUUAUGUUAAAGUAUGUCUUAGCACAUAAGAGAUUUAAGGUCUUAUGGUGUUAGUUCAACAAAUGUAAGCAUAGCCUUGUGAAAAUAUCUCCAAUUAACCCAAACAUUUUUUGAAGAGUAAAUUAUGAGAGACUAUAUUAAGAUAAUUUGAAGAAAGUAAUACAAAAUUGUUUAGGUAUGAUUAAUUUUAUGUUAGGAUAAGUGUGUAAUCUAAUUAGUUGAUGGUACUAGUUAUAGGUUCAACUUCUAUGUUUAAUCACCCUAAUCUUUAUUUGUAUAUAUGUUAUACAGAUUUUACUGUUUGAUAAAAAAAAACUUUGAUAAACAAAUUAAAAUUUCAAAAAAUCCUAAAAAAAACAAUAUUGCAUACCAUAACUGAAGGCAACAAAAACAAAACAAAAAGUAAUAAUAGCAAAGGAUUUAAACAAAAAGUAGUAGACAAAGAAGAAGUAUUUACUUGUAACUUUGAGGCCAUUGGAGAGAAGUGAAAGAGUGAGAGUGGGUUGUAUGAAUUUCUUCCUCCUCAUCACUGCUACCACUCUCACUCUCUAACUUCCCACUUUCAAUAAACUGUGCAUCUUCGUUUAUAUCAUCUUCAAAGAAAAGCUCAAGGUCUUUCUCCUUCUUGUUGCCGUUACUAACCAUUGCUCCAACUCUAUCCCAAACUAAACGAUGAGUGAGGAAACAAGUUUUCAGCCGUUACUAACCAUUUGUUGCUGCAAAUAUAUAACAAAUAACCUUGGAUUUGUGUUUAUUUAAUUGAAUAAUUUUAAUUUUUUUAUUUAAAUAGAUAAUUAAAUAAUUUAGAGUUUGUAUUUAUUUAGAGUUUUUAAUUAUUUAAGAAUUGUAUUUAUUUCAGACUAAAAGGAGAACAUUAAAUAAUUUAGGAUUUGCAUUUAUUUAAAAAUUAAUAAUUAAUAAAUUUUAUUUAUUUCAUAUUUUUAUUUAAGUAAGACAUUAAAUAUUUUAGGAUUUGUAUUUAUUUAAGAUAAUUUAGGAAUUUUAUUUAUUUUAGACUUUUAUUUAAGUAGGACAUUAAAUAAUUUAGAAUUUAUAUUUAUUUAGAAUUUUGAAAAACUUAUAAAUUUAAUUUAUUUCAGAUUUAUAAUUUUAGUAAUUUUAUUUAUUUUAGACUUUUAUUUAUAUAACAAAUUUUAUUUAAAUAUUUUUUUACGUGAUUUUAUAUUUAGAAAUCCAUUUAUUGUGAACUAAUUUACCAAAGAUUAAUUAGAUGAUACCAUCGACUUAACCUCUCCACCAUAACAAUUUCAACCAUAGAUUAUUAGGUUUUUGGUUUUCUUCUUCUUCUAUUUUGUUCAUAUUUGAUUCAAUAAAUUUAACAUUACUUGAAUACAUAGAAUACAUAGUUCUUUAUGAGAAAAUAAAAAAAUUCUCUCUCAAGAAACUAACAUAUUCAAUCUCCAGACAAUUUCUCAAACCAAAUAAGGAGUGAGUUUUUUUUUUUGUUUGUAUUUAUGGUUUUGAGAGUGGGAGAGUGGAUGGGGGAGAGGGUGGAAGGUUUUUUUUCAUUCUUCAUAUAAUGAAGAGAUUUGUGGAGAUUUAUGUAGGAUUGUUGUAUUUGAGCAAAAUACCCUUUUGUAUGCAUUUUAUUACAAUAUACAAAAUUAAAUAUUACAUAAAUUUAUUUAUAAUUUCAAAAAUAUUUAAUUAUAUUAUUAAUAACAACAUACAAUUAUAAAUAAUGAAAAUAAAAAAAUUAUAAUAUUAACAAAUUAUAUAUAGUUAUAUAAAAUAAUAAAUGAAUACAAUAAUAAAUAUUAUUUUCAUAAAAUUUUAUUUCAAUUUAACACAAAAAUAUUUUCUAUUAUAUUUUUAAUUUUUUUAUUAAAAAAUAUAGGUAAUUAUAAAUAUUAUAUUAGAAAAAAUUAAUUAAUUCAAACCUAUACACAAAAAAAAUAAUAAUUCAUUAUUCAAAUAUUUUUUAAUAACAAGGAUAAAUUUGUAAACUUACAAUAAACUAUCCUCACAAAUCCACUCUAUCAUCCCUCAAUCCAAACAACCUCACAUAUCUUCACACAUCUUCUCUAAUCCUCACAAAUUCACUUCCUUCCCUCCCCACAAAUCUCCUCCUCAAUCCAAACACAGCAAGGGGUAAAUAUUGAUUAUCCAAUAUGAAAAAAACAUGCAGUUGUAUUUCUUCUUGAAAUUUGGAGUAAAAAAUAUGCUAAGUAGUCAAAAUAAAAUAAUGACAUAUUUAAGAACUAGGUCUCGUAAAUGUAGUAUUGAGGAUCUAUCUGGUAACAACCCCUCAAGACUUCUAGCUAAUGGGUGCAUCAACAAAGUAUAUUUGUGUAUAGUUACGAAAAAUCAAACUAUAAUUAUUAUUGUAUUGAUCAAUCCAUCUCCAAUUAUCCAAUUCACGAAACACUAGUUUGAGGCAAAAAGGAUAUUUAGUGAAUGGGUUUGAAAAAUGUUCUCUUCACUGAAACUAAUGAAGUAGUGCCAAGAGACCAAAAAGAUCUCAUAUUGCAACCUUUGAACCAAAUGCAUUUUGUGGCAAACAUUAUUACAAUUAUGUUAAAGUAUGACUUAGCACAUAAGAGGCUUAAGGUAUUAUGGUGUUAGUCCAACAAAUAUAAGCAUAGCCUUGUGAAAAUGAUAUGCAAUUAACCCAAACAUUUUUUUAAAUGUAAAUUAAGAGAGACUAUACCAAGAUAAUUUGAUGAAAGUAGUUGGAAGUUGUUUAUGUAUGAUUAAUUUUAUGUUAGGGUAAGUGGCGUAAUCUAAUGAGUUGAUGGUACUGGUUACAGGUUCAAGUUCUACCAUGAAUCACCUUAAUCUUUAUUUGUAUGUAUGCUAUACAUAUUUUAUUUUACCGUUGAUAAAAAAACUUCGAUUCCAUACACAUAAAUAACAAAUUAAAAUUUCGAAAAGACUCUUAUUAGCAACAAUAUUGUAUAUUGUUCUCGCCUGCUCGAAGUCAGUCAUAGUAUGGAUGAGCUCUUCUCGGAUUUGCUCCUGGUGUUCGGUUGGCAACUGGAUGAAGCGCUGACACUUUCCUUCCAGGCUGUGAUAGUCCAGCUUCUCUUCCAGGCUGUGGUAGUCCAACUUCUGGGGACGAGAGGGGGGCUCCACUUGCAAUUACAUUCCGACGCUCAAGUCAGUGAGAGCAUAAAAUAUUGUGUAAAUAGUAAAAUAUAUUGCAAAGAUGAAAGUUGAGAUACUCCCUGUGGUGGUUGUCUAUUUAUAAGCCUUCAUGGGUUUGGAUUCUUUACUCUGGUUCCUCUAGAUAUCAAUGUGUCAUAUUAUGGUAACUUUACAUAAAAUUUGAAUAUCAUGUAAUAUAAUCGGAGCAUUUAUCUAAUAUAAUAAGGGAUAUUAGGCAAAUAAAUUAGAGCAUUUAUGUGAUAUAACCAGGAAUGUCGUGCAGGUAAUUAUCGCAUUUAUGAGAUGUAAUUGGGGAUAUUAAGCGGACAUUUGUGGUAGGUGAGAGAGAGCUAUGUUACAUAGUGCUGACUCUACCACUACUACUGUUGCAGGGCCUAAAGAUGAGGUCCAUUAGGCUCAGCCUGAAUGUAUGGUCAAGCUCAUGCUCUUCCUAGGGGGAUGUAUGGUCGGUCAUACACCUAGCAAGUACGGGACAAUACACAUACCAUAAUUGAAGGCAACAAAAACAAAAGAAAAAGUAAUACCAAAAUAUUUAAACAAAAAAGUAGUAGGCGGCAAAGGAGAAGUUUUUACUUGUAACUUUGAGGCCAUUGGAGAGAAGAGUGAGAGUGUAAGACAUUAAAUACUUUAGGAUUUAUAUUUAUUUAAAGUUUUGAAUCAUUUAAAAAAUUUAUUUAUGAAAAACAUUAAAUAAUUUAAGAUUUGUAUUUAUUUAGAAGUUUGAAUAAUUUAGAAUUUUUAUUUAUUUCAUAUUUUUAUUUAAGUUAGACAUUAAUAAUUUAGGAUUUGUAUUUAUUUAAGAUUUUGAAUAAUUUAAGAAUUUAUUUAUUUUAGAUUUUUGUUUGAGUAAGACCAUUAAAGAAUUUAGAAUUUAUAUUUAUUUAAAAUUUUAAAAAAUUUAAAAAUGUUAUUUAUUUCAUAUUUUUAUUUAAGUAGAACAUUAAUUAAUUUAAAAUUUGUGUUUAUUUAGAAAUUUUAGAAAUUUUAUUUAUUUCAUAUUUUUAUUUAAGACAAAAUUUGUAUUUAUUUAAGAUUUUGAAUAAUUUAAGAAUUUUAUUUAUUACUUAUACUUUAUAUAAGUAGAACACUAAAUAAUUUAGGAAUUGUAUUUUUUAAAAAAUUUGAAUAACUUAGGAAUUUUAUUUAUUUUAAAAUUUGAUUUAAGUAGGACAUUAAAUAAUUUAGGAUUUAUAUUUAUUUAUAAAUUUGAAUAAAUAUUUUAAAAAACAUGGGCCCGUUCUGCUGCCCAACAUUUUUCUAUCUGCACCAAGCUUAUUAUAAAUGCACUUAGUUUUAAAUCCUGCGCUCAUUCAACUGUCCAUUACGUUUGGUAUCUGCCACCCCUUUUAUUUUAUACACCUAUCAGCUUUUAAUUUCUAUUUAUAUAUAUAUAUAUAUAUAUAUGUAUGUAUGUAUGUAUGUAUGUAUGUAUUUGUGUAAUAAAUAUUUCAAACAAAGUAAUUUGUUAAAACUAGAUCCAGUAUUAAAUUUUUAAUGAGAAUGUAAUUAUUUUGAAAAAUCUAUAAUUAUUACAAGAUAGUACAAAUACUUUUUAGGCCCCCUCUCUUUCAUAUUCCCAACCCCAGUACUUUAUUAAUUUGCAUCAUAUAUCUUCACCAUGUUUUGAAAAGCCUGUGUCUAUUAUGCUGCCCAGUUUUUUUCUAUCUGCGCUUAUUAUAUGGGUGUUUCUUCUUGCACCUCUACAUUUUUCUUCCUGCUCCCUGAAUUCUUCAAAAAUACCGAAAUUACCCUUUAUAUUUUUUUAUGUUUCCAGAAUAAUGGUUGCGUAAGUAAAUGAUAUUUUCAGAAUAAAAAUCUGGAAGACAAAAAAUCAGGAACACAGAUUUUUUUUUACUUUCGGAUUGAAUUAUAAAACAUGUCGAGAAAUAUUUCGGAAAGAAUAAUCCAGAUUUCAUUUUUUAAAGGGGCAAAAAAGUCUUCUCCGAAAAUUAUGGGGUGUAGGAAGAAAUUUGUAGAGGUGCAGGAAGAAGUUGCGUUAUUGUAUAUGCAGUUUUAAAAACUGGGCCUAUUCAACUGGCCCAUCAUUUUGGCUAUCUGCCACGCCUGUUUAUUUUAUACAACCACCAGAUUUUAAUUUCUUUUAAACAAAAUAAUUUGUUAAAAUAAAAAGAACUAGAUCCAGUACUAAAUUUGUAAUGAGAAUUUAAGUAUUUUGAAAAAUCUAUAAUUAUUAUAUAAUAAUGUAUUUUCAUUUAAAGAAAUAAAAAUUAUUUAUAUAAUAAAUUUUAUUUAAACAUAUUUUUACAUGAUUAUAUAUUUAGAAAUCCAUUUAUUGUGAAUUAAUUUAGCAAAGAUUAAUUAGAUGAUAUCAUCGACUUAACUUCUUCACCAUAGCAAUUUUAACCAGAGUUUAUUAGGUUUUUUUUUUUUCUUCUUCUUCUUCUAUUUUGUUCAUAUUUGAUUCAAUAAAUUUAUCAUUACUUGAAUACAUUCUUUAUGAGAAAAUCAAAAAAUUCUCUCCCUCACAAAACUAACAUAUUCAAUGUCCACAAAAUUUCUCAAACCAAAUCAAAGCACCAUGUGAAUUACCCAGUAAGCAUAAACAGAAAUUUCCAAACUAAACCAACAGCUCAUUCAACUAUAAAUUUUCAAACCAGAGUAAAAUAUAAAUCGCAACAAAACCGCAACAACAAUGAUAAACAACUCAUUCAAAUCCAGAUCAAAACUGAGACUUUCAUUUAAAUUUACCUUUCAACAGUUAAAAUCGAUCCUUCGUCGGACAAAAUACGUACAAAGAAUGAGUUGGAGCUUUGAACACGCAAUACGAUGAAGAUGGAGCUGAAAUAAUAAAAUAAAAUGAAGAAAUAAAUAGAAAAGAAAGAUGGAAGCGAUAGAAGAGAAUAUGCCACGUAGCGAAGGCAAAGGCGAAGGGAGAGAGUGUUGGAGAUCCCACAUCGACUAGAGAUUAGAGCUUUUCAUUGUAUAUAAGUGGGUGGAAACCUCAACUGUAUGAGCCGGUUUUAUGGGGUUGAGUUAGGCUUAAAGUCCACUUUGUAAUAUGGUAUCAGAGUGAGUGGAAAAUAAAACUCAUUAACAUUAAAUAUCGGACCACCCAUUUUUUCAUUUUUUUAUAUCUUGGUAUGCAAAUGCUUUGAAAAAAUUGAAAUAAUUUUUAAGUGUUUAUUAAUGUAAUUCAUACUUAAGAUACCAUAUGUUAAAGAACUAUUAUUAUUCAUGCAAUCAAUAUUAUUUUAUGUGGUACAACAUCUAUGCUACUUAUUAAGAUUGUUUUAUUUUUUGUUGACUUAAUAGGAAGUGAAUGACAUACAUUAGGAAAAGCUAAAUCUAUCAUUUUGUUCUUGAAUGCAUUGGAAAAAUAUAUUAAUACACUUACUUGCAGAAAAUAGUACAUAUGUAUCAUUUCAUGACUCAAAAUUAACUAGAUUAUUAUGUGAUAUGAGGAUAAAAAUUAAAUUUUAUCAAAUUUCAUGUGUAGUAUUUAUUACUAUUACUAUAGGAGAAAAAGUUUAUAAAAACUAUGAAAUAAAAAUUUAUGGACAAAGUUCAAUAAGAAAUCAAUAUUGUAUAGCUAGUAAUAAGAUUAAAAUAUUAAAAUACCAUUAAAAUUAAAUAUUAGAAGGUAAAUAAACUUACAUUGAGAAUCUUCUAAGUUAAUCAAACGUGGAACAUUGCGAAAAGUAAAUUUAGCAUAUAAUUAACAAGCUUCUUUCACAGCAAAAACAAAUACUGUUAGAACAAAUAUUAUUCCUGCUCUAAAUUUAAGAGAAGCACAGUUUCCUAUUUUUUCUUCUGUUAGCUUAAAUCCAUUGAAUGUUAAUUAUAUUUUGGGAAAGCAAAUGUCUGAAUCAUUUAAGACAUACGAUUGAUAUACUUAAUAUUUUUCUUAUUUUUUUUAAAUGUUAAUUAUUACACUGCUUCUUAUUUAUUUUUUCUAAGUAUCACUUAACAUUUGAAUAUAAGAUCCUAAUAUCAGAAAGAAAUGUAGUAAGUUAUUCAUCACAUCCUGAAGAAUUUACUAAAUUGUAAUAAGUUGAGGUGUCAAAGGUGACACUUCAAUAAAUAUUUGAUUUUUCUCUUCAUUUUAUUUGACUUUAACUAUACUAUUUAUUCAGAUUUAUACUUUUAAAAUGUCACAAUUUUAGAUAAGUGAACUUAAACAUAAGUAAGAAACUCAAGUUGUGGAGGCAAUUAAGAUUGAGAUGAUUUAAGUGGUUAGAGACGUAGUGUCCAUAGAUGUCAAUAUUUUUUUUUUAAUUUUGACGCUAGAAUGUAUUUUUUGAAUUUUUUAUUGGUAAAAAUGAACAAAAUUAAAGAAAGUAAAUUAAAGUUUGGUUUGUGCUGCGUUUACUGCUAAGACUAAUAUUUUGUAGAUGUUUCGUAAUCAAUGAAAUACUUAUCUUAAUUACUAUGGGAAAAUUAGGUUUCGGAUUACUCAUAUCUUUCGUGAAGAUAAUGCGUGUGAUGAUAAGUUGCUAAUUUAUGAUUUAUUCAUAGAUAAUUAUUUCAUUGGUAUAAUAAGCUUUCAUCUAGUCUGUUCUUAUAUUUCUUUAUAAAUAAGUAUAGUCUACAUACUUUUUUCAUUGUUGAUGAUUGUUGUUACUUGAAGUGUUAGUCUGAGAUUUUACAUAGUAAUGUCUAACAUAAAAAAUUUUAUAUAAAAAUACUUUAACCCUUUUAAAAAAAAAUGAUUAACGAGUAACCAAUAAAAAAUCACUAAGAUGUAUUAAAUUUUUUUAUAUUCAUAUUACAUCUGCAUCAAAAUCAAGUCUAAUACAAGUUUAACUUUUACUUCCACAUUUCUGACUAAUAUUUGUCAACACAAAAACUUACCGUAUUUGCAAUUUUGCAUGAUGAGUAGUAGAAUUUUAGUCUAACUUUUUUACUUCUUUUUUUUUUUACAAAAAAUGAUCAUCUAGUUCUAGAAACUAUAACAAAACGUGAAACUUAUAAAUUGCAAAUAUCAAGAAAAUCAUAAAAUAGAAACUAAUUUUUAGUGACAAAAAAUAAUUAGUUGUUAUAGUAACUAAAUUAUAGACCAUUUUGGAGACUAGAAAAUUUUUGGUUUUUAAAUUAGUUUUUAUUAUUGUUAAAUGAUUUCUAAAUUGGUAUCUAAUUAGCAACCAAGAUUUUUGCUACCAAAUUUAGUAACUAAAUAAUUGGUAGUUAAAACCUUGGUUGCUAAUUAGAUACCAAUUUAGAAACUAUUUAACAAUAAUAGAAACUAAUUUUUUUUCUAAAAUUGAUUUCUAUUUCAUGUUUUUCUUGUAGUGUAUUUGCCUUUUGUAAAAGAGACGUUUUUUUUUCGGCAAAGAAUUAAAGAAAUAAAAUAAAUGGGACUCUUUAGGGGUGUCCCAACCCUUAUACAAACCUAUUCAAGCUGGGCUAAGAUGUCUGUACAAAACAUACCCCUUACUGCAUCAAGUAAAAAACAUGUUUAAAACCCCUUACAAGGUCUUAUGCUUCUAAACACAAUCUAGUCAUGACAACAAAAUAGGUAAACUCUAAUACAAUAUCCCAAAAAUCUUUACACUCCAGCUGCUAUAACUUGCAUACUAAAGCCAAAAAGAAAUUUACUACAAACUCUAACAAAUCAUGCUUUGUGCAGCAGCAAACUCCAAUAAAACCCAGACCAAGCAUACCACCUAUUUGAGCAUCACCAUCGGUAGCAACAAAACCACUUGCAUUCUAAAGCCAAAAGUAAUUUACUACAAACUCUAACAAAUCAUGCUUUGUGCAGCAGCCAACUCCAUCAGCAAACACCAGUAAAACCAAGACCAAUCAUACCACCUGUUUGAACAUCACCAUUGGUAGCAGCAAAACCACCAAAGAUAUUCUUGGUUUUAUCUAGCUCCAGAGUGAUAUAAAGCAUGUUAAAAUCUCCACCUUCGUGAAACAACAACAUCUUCAAACCACCAUAUUUUCACACUUCCAUCUUCUUUUUAAAUUAAUAAUUUGCUCCCCUUCAGCUAUACCUGCACAUCAACACCACCUUUCCCACCUCUCAAACAGGCUUAAACAAGCAAAACAAAGUCCAAAAACAUGCUCUUGAAAGAAAUAUAGCAUAUUUACUACCACACCCAAACCAGUCAUUCAUAAUAUGAAUAUGGUUAAGAUAGCUCCUGUAAAAUACAUACAUCAACAUAUGAAAAAAUAAAAACACUUUUAAACCCUUACCUACUUACCAUGUUGACACAGGUUAAUGGUGAUAAUAUCCAAUCAGAGAAGGAAAAGAUAACUUUCUUUACUUUGUGUUNNNNNNNNNNNNNNNNNNNNNNNNNNNNNNNNNNNNNNNNNNNNNNNNNNNNNNNNNNNNNNNNNNNNNNNNNNNNNNNNNNNNNNNNNNNNNNNNNNNNUCCAUACUAUGGAGACCCAAAGGCUUUUCCAUAAUCUAUUGCCCUCUUUGUUAGAGCACAUACAAUAGAAUUGUUCAAAAUGAAAAAUCAAUUCUUUGUGAUUCACAGAACUAAUUCCCAACCAUCUAAAACACAUGUUCCAAACUUUACUUGAUUCCCUACAAGAAAGAAGGAUGUGUGUUGUAGUCUCCUCUUCGGUUCCACAUAAAGCACAUAAAGUAUCUCCUAAAAACACUCCCUUUUUGUGCAGAUUCUGUUUUGUUGCUAACCUAUUCGAGAAAGCCCUCCACACAAAAAACGUGGUCGAUGGCAUAACCUUUAAAUUCCAAAGCGAACCAAACACGGAAACCCCCUCACACUCGUGGUAAGUUAACUUAUUAUAAGCGGAUUUUACUGAAAAAGUAUAAGAUGGAGGAUCAAUCCAUAUCCUUGAGUCCUCUUUGUCAGGUUGUAGUAACACCUAUGAUAUUAUUGACAUGAACUCCUCUACCAUAGAUUUCCCAUUCAAACCAGUCUCUUCUUCAACUGAAAUUCCACUCCCACCCAACUGCAUUCCAACUACCAAAAUUAUCUAUAGUCUUGUCUUUAAGCUCGAGUUAUUGUAUAUUCUUUCAUAUUUUACUCUGAGUUGACCAUUGGUUAGCCAUUCGUCUUCCCAGAAUUUGAUCUUCGNNNNNNNNNNNNNNNNNNNNNNNNNNNNNNNNNNNNNNNNNNNNNNNNNNNNNNNNNNNNNNNNNNNNNNNNNNNNNNNNNNNNNNNNNNNNNNNNNNNNUGAACCAAUUAACUCCUUGGUCUGAAAUACUAGCUUUGAAUAAAUCUAACCACCAUCUAGAUGUAAAUCUAUUUUGUUUCGGUGCAUAUGAAUUUGACAACCACCUCAAACAAUACUUUGAUUCCAAUACCUCCUUCCAAAGACCAUAUUCUGUUGAACCCAGUCUCCAUAGCCAUUUGGCCAAAAGUGCCUUAUUGAAAUGCUCAAUACGCCUAAUACCAAGACCUCCCACCUCUUUCUCUUUACAAAUAUUAUCCCAACUAGUCCAAGCAAUUUUCCUCCCUUCUGUACCCCACCCCCACAAAAACUUCCUCUGUAAUUUUGUAAUCUCUUUGCACACUCCAAUUGGUGCUUUAAAAAAGGAUAGGUAGAAUAGUGGUAUAGCGUUGAUAACUGAUUUUAUAAGGCACACUCUUCCCGCGAAAGACAGAUUCCUCCCCUUCCAUACAGAAAGUUUCUUCCUUAUCUUUGAUACCACAGGCUCCCAAAAGGAACAGCUAGAUGGGUUACCUCCUAUAGUUAAACCUAAGUAUGAGAAAGGUAUCUCCAUUAUACUACAAUUGAGUAUUUCAGAGUAUAAUUUCACCUCAUAAUUGUCUACUCCAAUUGCGCCCAACUUACUCUUAAAGAAGUUUACCCUGAGGCCCGAACUUAAUUCAAAACAUCUUAAAAUAGCCUUAAUACACCUAAUAUUUUGCACGUUUGAUUCACAUAAGAAGCGGGUAUCGUCUGCAAAUUGGAGUAGAUCCACCUCCACAUUUUUAACCCCUAUUUUGAUUCCUGAUAACAGUUUUUUUCUUGUCGCUUGUUUUACAAGCCCAGAUAAACCUUAUGCGACAAUCAGAAACAAAAACGGUGCCAUAGGAUCCCCCUGUCUAAGACCUCUAGUUGGUUUGAAUUCUUUUGUCGGGCUACCAUUUACCAAAACCGAGACUGUAGCCGAUUCAAGGCAAGCUCUAAUCCACUGCACCCACUUUCCACAAAACCCUAGUCUUCUCAUCAUAUAAAAUAAGAACUCCCAACUUACCGAAUCGUAUGCCUUCUCAAAAUCAAGUUUCACAAUCACCCCCUUCUUCUUUCUCCUUUUCAAGUCAUCCACAACAAGAACACUAUCUAACAAACCUCUAUUGGACAAAAAAGCUGACUGUGAACCAUCAAUAACCUUCUCAAUUACUUUUUUAAUCCUAUUAGACAGAACCUUUGUCAAAAUCUUAUAAAGACAACCGACGAGUGAUAUAGGUCUGUAUUCUUCAAGGGAUUGAGGGUUCUCAGACUUCGGGAUCAAAGUUAAGAAUGAGGCAUUACAGCCUUUCAGAAUCUUCCCCUCUUUGUGAAAGAAUUUUACUGCUCCCAACACUUCCUUUUCUAGUAGACACUAGUUAUUUUUAAUAAAACUAAGAGUUACUCCAUCAGGUCCAGGGCUUUUAUGACUAUCACAAUUCCAAAUGGCUUCCUUUAUUUCCUUUUCCUCGAAUGGAUCAGUCAAUAGUCUAUUAUCAAAUUCAGAAAUCUCCUUAAAAUCCACAUUGUCCAACCUAACUCCAAUAUCUUCGAUGGCCGACAUCUUAUUCUUGUAAAACUCCUUGACCACCUCAUUUACCCUAUUUGGUUCUUCCACCCAAAUACCAAAGAGAUUACAGUGUGCUCCUUUUAUCUCACUUCUCAUCCUCCUCCAUUUGAUGGAAGCAUGGAAAAAUUUUGAGUUUGAAUCCCCCUGUUUAAUCCAUAAGGCUCUUGACUUUUGUUGUAAUAAGGAUUCGUUCCUCUCAUUUAUGUCUUGUAGUUGGCUCAAAAGUUCUCUUCUUUCCCUAAUCUUGUUUUCAUCCAAGCCAUCUGCAUCAUCUCUCAUAUCUAACUCUUGUAUUUUCCUCAAGAUUUCGAGUUUGAUUUUGUCAACAUGCCCGAAUACAUCUUUAUUCCAUCCUUUCAGAUCGCUCUUUAACAUCUUCAGUGUCUCUUUUAACACAAAGAUUUCAUUGCCCUGGACCAAAUAACUAUCCCAUUUACUUUUAAUAAAAAUUUUAAACUCCUUAUCUUCCUGCCAUAUGUCAAGAAACCUAAAAGGUUUUGGACCCCUAUCCACCACAUUUGAUUUUAGCUCUAAAGCACAGUGGUCAGAUACUUGUCUAUCUAAAACAUAUUGUUUACUUCCUGGUCAAUGUUGUAACCAUUCAAAGGAUAUUAAAAAUCUAUCAAGCCUACUUUUAGCUUUACCAUUAGGUCUAUACCAAGUAUAUUUUCUUCCAAUACAGGGUAUAUCCACCAACUCCAUAUUAUCAAUGAAACUAUUAAACUCUUGUAAUUCUUUCUUGUAACCAUUACCAUUGGAACUAUUUAUCCCCCUACGCUCCCUUUCAUUCCUUAUAGAGUUGAAAUCCCCCAAAAUGCACCAAGAGUUACACGGUUCCCCUUGCCUAAUCUCUAAUAAGUCGGCCCACAUUUGUAUUUUCUCUUGCAGAUUGCAGGAAGAGUAUACGUUGACAAUAACCACAGGAAUAUUUUUCUCCUUAAAGUACCCGGAGAACACUAUGAACCUCCUGUUGAUGAUAUGAUUGGAACAUUGAAAAAACUUUUUAUGCCAAAUCGUAAGAAUACCCCCUAACCCGUUAGUUGGAUUGCUAUAAAAAUAAUCAAUGUCAUUAUCUCCCCAUAACUUACAACAAUUAUUUAAACUAAAAGAUGACAAUCUUACUUCUUGCAAGCACAACAUUCUAACAUCUUCCUUUCUGAUCAAAUCCUUGAUAUACCUCCAUUUCACAGGACUCCCAAACCCUCUCACAUUUAACGUAAGAAUUUUCAUAGAUAACCCGUAACCUCCCUCACCUCCCUUUGGAUUUUCAUACUCCUGUCCCUUUUUUCUAAUUCUUCUAGGCUAAUCAUGACAUUUCCUUCAACCCCACAUGUAGCCCCUAUCUGUUUACCCAAUUCCCAUACUCGAAUCGUUUCUAGACUACCAUGUUUUAACCAGAACAAACGAUUACAGUUAUUUAUUGCCAUAUCAGAAACAGAAUUACUAAUAUGAGAUAUAGCUGACCUUACAUUCUUGCGUUCUUCCCUCUUGCUGUUUUUACUUGAAUCACCCGUCCAGAAAAUUCUUUUAUCUGCAACAGAAGAUGAAUUAAAUGUGACUGGUUCUGAGUCUUGUUUUGUUUGAUUGACCAUAGCAUCCGCAGCCAAAUGAUCCCCGUUAUUUGUUGAUUUUACGAACGGAGCAUAUGUGUCCCUUAUUCUGCUUAAACACCUUCCAGAUUGAAAAUUGGUGUUCGUGUUUAGGUGCCUCGUCUCCUUUGAAUUCUGUUUGAGAGAAAAAUGGUGUGCCUCCCCUGUUUGUGACCCACAUAGAGAGUCCUCCACCCUCGAAAUUGAUUUCGGGAAACCUUGCGUCCCCCCUUCACCACUACCGCCGGCAUCGGAGCACUGAACGUAGGUGUCGCUGACCCAUGCGUAACCUCGAUCAAAAUAUUGGAACGCGCGUUGAUUUUUCCGUUGCCAGAAACCACCUGAUGUGCAACGUCAAUGGCAGCCCCAGGGAGUUCAUUCUUUUCUGAUUUGUGAAGAUUGAGGAAACAUUCUGAAUUAAUUGGGCUUCCAGGCAACCCAUUCGAUAACUGCACCACCUUACGGGCAUCUGGGCCUGUUUUCGAAAAAACCUCAACUUGUUUUUUAUUACUGCACCUCCCUUCCUCCUUUUCACAACGCACCAAACACUAGGCCGUUUCUGAAGGCCCACAAAACUUUUCCACGUCAACCCUAGUAAGAGUCGUUGGGGUUUCAGAACCUAGGUUAUCACUACCUAUGAUUGACCUAGGCGUAGAGACCGAGCCUACGGUUCUAGCCAUGAUGGGUUUGCAACAGCUUUCCAGUGCGCUGGGUCCUAAAUUCCGGCAGCCUUGUGCCGUCGGUGGCAACGCCAAACUCGCGUCCACCUUCGAAAUCUCCUCAUCGACCUUUCUAACUUCUUCGAAAUCCCUGCUUCCCGAUCGCACAGAAUCAUUAGACGCUAUUGAGUCAACCUCAGUUUCGAGACCAUCGGAUUCUUCGCUCCAAUGGCAUUGACAAAGUUUAUAAUCUGGAACUAUGUAUUCUUCCUCCACCGAAACCUGAUACAAAACGUCAUUGAUGUUCAUAUAGCUAGUAAUCUUCGCCUCGCACCCCACUGAUACUCUAAUUCUAAACCUUGCGUACUCCAUCUCUUCCAAUGCUAGAGUUGCUUCAUCAAUCUCAACGAGGGUUCCCAAUAACGCAGCUAUGUGCUUGAAACAAUCAUAAUUCCAUAGUUUCAAAGGUAAACCUCUGCAUCUCACCCAUACCAGUUUGUCUACCGCUACAAAUUGCUCAUUCCACGGAAUGAUUGUGUCAAAAAUUUCUUCGAACCAUUCUUUGUUCUCCUCUAUGGCUUCUUUGAUCGUCAUUUCAUUUUCUCCCUUCAGUAACACAUGGAACCCCCCCAGAAAUUUAACCUUUAUAAAGCCAAGACCGCCCAGAAUAAAACUUUCAUUCAAACCUGAUAUUUUGCUCAGGUCCGAUACCCUUCCAAUAUGACAAGUUUUUAACCAUUCUCUGGGAGUUUCUUCUGCUUUAAAGUGAAUAGCAUGUAAGCUACCCCUGUUCUGCGAUUGUGCUCUGUUCCCAUUACCAUACUUAACGGUGUUAGCAUACGUGUUUGUUCCUUUUGCCCGCCACACUUUUUUAAUUUCUUUCUCUGGUUCUAAUGCCUUCUCUUUUUGCUUUGCAUUCCACUCCUUUCUUGUUUCUGCUGCUAUGAUAUAUUUAGGUCUAUUAGCAUUCAGUUUCCAGCUCCCAAUCCAAAUUGUAUUCAGAUGAUAUUCCAACUCCCUAACAUUCUGUACACCCAGAAAUCUAACAAAACCAAACCUUUGCUUCUUUAUAUUUAAUCUUCUAGAGAUGAAAACAUAACUCACCCUUUGAUAUCAAAGGGGAAGUUAGAGAAGAAGAAAGGUGUUCCUCUCUCAUUCAUUGUUCUUGUAUUCUAUUUGGUACUCGAAACAAUUCAGAGAUUGUAAAAGAGACGUGAUGUUAAAUUUGUACGAAUAAAAUAAAUUUGAUCAAUUAUUGUAAUAAUAAAAUAAAUAAAAAGCAAAUAGUUUUUGAAAAAACAAAAUCUUUAAGAAAUUAUUUUUACUCAUUUUUUAUACUUUCUAAUCUAAAAAUAGUAUAAAAAAAUAAGUUUUUAUACAUGUAGGGUUGUUUCGAAACAACACUACAUGUAUAAAACUUAAUUUUUUUUUAUUAAUUUUAGCAUUAUUUUUCCUACAUCCAUUCAUCACUUCUAUCAAAAUUAUUAAUUUUAAUAUUAAAAAGUUUGAUAUUUGCACACAACAUAUAAAUAUGUAUAUUAUCUAUAUUUUUUUAUAUACUGUGAUAGGUUUUGGUGUACAUAAUUGCAAUAAAAUAUCAUUCAAGUCUUUUACAUUAGGUAUGCCCAAGUAAAAUGAAAUUAAAAGAAAUACUUGUGACACAAAAAUUGAAGUGGUUCUAGUCGUCACGAGUAAACAUUUGCAACUGGUUUAACAUCAAUUCUAACCAUCCAAUGAAGAAGAUAAAAAGUCUCAG
rnacentral:lncRNA from 1 species